AUAGGUAGUUAAACGUACAGACGAAUUGUCAAUACGUGGAUGGAUGGAGUGGGAAGAAGAAAGCAGAGGUGGGAACGGCACCUGGCCUUCCUGGUAGGCUUGGACCUGCUGCCCCGUCGUCGACGGCUGGGGCGUCCUCCGCCGCAACUGCCCCCUUCCUUGCCGUCGUCGUCUUCUCCUUCCGUCACGGAGAGCAGCAACGAGAGCAAAGAGCAAGGCCAUCAGGGACAGGCUACCCUUCUCGCGCUCCUCCGGCACCCGACCUUCCUUCUGGGCAAAUAUCGGGAUCCAUCGGAUCGGCCGGAGCCGGAGCAGAACGGCCAGGCUACCAGCAUGAUACGCCGGUUACCGUGACGGCGAUACUCUCACGCAUCAUCUGCGUCGACCGUGGCCGCUGCAACUGCAGCGGCAAGGCGGAUGCAGUGGUCGGGGCCAGGUCCCUCGUCUAGCACAACGAUUUCUACUGCCAAGACUGCAACACGCAGAGGUACGAGGCGUUUUGCUCGUAUCCCCUGCUUUGCCUCCUCUCUGCUGCUGUUCCAGACUUGGAUGUGCUACAUUUUGAUCACGAGAGGUUGAAUCUUUUGUGCUACUUCAGUACUUUAUCGUUUUCUACUUCAUGUAUGGCCCGUCAAAGUAUAUAACAAGAAUCAACACUGAAUGAUAGAACUUUAGGUGAUCUAGUUUUAGGUGAAUUCAGGCGAAAUGUUGAUCUUGUUCCCAUCUGUUAUCGAUAAACCCUAGAUACGUCAUCAAGCAGCUAUCUGUAUUUUCUGAAUCUUUUGUGCUACUCCAGCGCUUCAUCAUUUUCUACUUCAUGUAUGGAUCGUCAAAGCAUAUAACAAGAAUCAACACUGAAUGAUCAAACUUUUGGUGACCUAGUUUUAGGUGAAUUCAGGCAAAAUGUUGAUCUUGUCCCCAUCGGUUAUCGAUGAACCCCUGAUACAUCAUAAAGCAGAUAUCUGUAUUUUCGACAAGUCUGCCAGAUUAUUCCCACUACGAACCAUUUAAUCAGAUCCAUUUUCCUCGAUCCUAAUAAAAAAAAUGGACCUAUCCAGAACUCCAC